rnacentral:rRNA from 1 species
GACGAACGCUGGCGGCGCGCCUCAUACAUGCAAGUGGAGCGACGGACCAGGGCUUGCCCUGGGGCCAAGCCGCGAACGGGUGAGUAACACGUGGGUAACCUGCCCCGAAGACCGGGACAACCCGAGGAAACUCGGGCUAAUACCGGAUGUGUUCGCCGCGCAUCAGCGCGGUGAGGAAAGGAAGCUUCGGCCUCCGCUUCGGGAGGGGCCCGCGGCCCAUUAGCUUGUUGGUGAGGUAACGGCUCACCAAGGCGACGAUGGGUAGCUGGUCUAAGAGGACGGACAGCCACACUGGGACUGAGACACGGCCCAGACUCCUACGGGAGGCAGCAGUAGGGAAUCUUGCGCAAUGCGCGAAAGCGUGACGCAGCGACGCCGCGUGGGGGAAGAAGGCCUUCGGGUUGUAAACCCCUUUCAGGAGGGACGAAGGUGCGGCGGCGAACAGCCGUCCGUACUGACGGUACCUCCAGAAGAAGCCCCGGCUAACUACGUGCCAGCAGCCGCGGUAAAAC